rnacentral:rRNA from 1 species
CCUACGGGACGCAGCAGUGGGGAAUAUUGCACAAUGGGCGCAAGCCUGAAGCAGUCAUGCCGCGUGUAUGAAGAAGGCCUUCGGGUUGUAAAGUACUUUCAGCGAGGAGGAAGGCGAUAAGGUUAAUAACCUUGUCGAUUGACGUUACUCGCAGAAGAAGCACCGGCUAACUCCGUGCCAGCAGCCGCGGUAAUACGGAGGGUGCAAGCGUUAAUCGGAAUUACUGGGCGUAAAGCGCACGCAGGCGGUCUGUUAAGUCAGAUGUGAAAUCCCCGGGCUCAACCUGGGAACUGCAUUUGAAACUGGCAGGCUUGAGUCUUGUAGAGGGGGGUAGAAUUCCAGGUGUAGCGGUGAAAUGCGUAGAGAUCUGGAGGAAUACCGGUGGCGAAGGCGGCCCCCUGGACGAAGACUGACGCUCAGGUGCGAAAGCGUGGGGAGCAAACAGGAUUAGAUACCCUCGUAGUC